rnacentral:rRNA from 1 species
CCUACGGGUGGCAGCAGUGAGGAAUAUUGGUCAAUGGACGGAAGGCUGAACCAGCCAAGUAGCGUGAGGGACGACUGCCCUAUGGGUUGUAAACCUCGUUUAUAAGGGAAGAAGAAAUGCUACGUGUAGCAUGAUGCAUGUACCGUAUGAAUAAGCAUCGGCUAACUCCGUGCCAGCAGCCGCGGUAAUACGGAGGAUGCGAGCGUUAUCCGGAUUUAUUGGGGUUAAAGGGUGCGUAGGCGGUUUUUUAAGUUAGUGGUGAAACGUCGGGGCUGCACCUUGAUUUGCCAUUCAUACUGUCAGCCUCGCGUUCAGUCGAGGUAGGCGGAAUCCGUUCUGUAGCGGU